CUCUGAUUGCAAAAUAUUUUUAGUUGGCAAUCUAAAAUAUUAAACAAUAGGAGACAUAAGGCACACUUCCAUCAAUUGAUAGAUAUUACUUAUUGUCGUUUUUAGUCAAAAUAGUAAUAACCUAGACAGCACACGUGAAUAGAACGCUUGGUUCUUGAUUUGAAACUGCGAAACUGCGAAACUGCGAAACUGCAAAAUUGCGAAGAUGGUUCACGAAGACAACAAUUGUACAUGCAAUGUAAACAACAGGUCCACGUUAAUAAAGUGCAGUUGUGGACGCAACGCAGUAAGAAUAUAGCGUAUUCUGUAUGAUGUAACGAGUGAUUUGCAUUCGACUGCAAUUAAGCCGAUUGCAUUAUGCAAUGAGAUUUUGGUAAAACGAAUAUGUGAUUUGCUAUGUAUCAUUAUGAACAUUUAUAAUAUAAAUUAACGUCCUUUAAUAAUAUAAGAUAAUAUUGUAUUAGAAAAAGAUUUUUACCUUUAUGUGAUUCUUAGCAAAACCUUUAAACGUAUAAACGUAUAAUUUUUAAAUAAAUUUUUAUGAAAGAAUUUAGAAAAAAAAUUAAAAAUAAAGAAAACAUUUUCCAUUA